AAAAAGGAAGAAAAAAAGAGGAGAGAUAAUACUAUUCAUGUUUCAUUUAGUUUAAUUUCAUUGUUUUUUUUUAUAUUUUU
rnacentral:ribozyme from 12 species